AUUGAACGCUGGCGGCAGGCCUAACACAUGCAAGUCGAGCGAGCGGCGGACGGGGGAGUAAUGUAUGGGAAACUGCCUGAUGGAGGGGGAUAACUACUGGAAACGGUAGCUAAUACAGCAUACCAUCAGAUGUGCCCAGAUGGGAGUAGCUAGUAGGUGGGGUAACGGCCGACCUAGGCGACGAUCCCUAGCUGGUCUGAGAGGGUGACCAGCCACACUGGGACUGAGACACGGUCCCGACUCCUACGGGAGGGAGCAGUGGGGAAUAUUGCACAAUGGGCGAAAGCCUGAUGCAGCAAUGCCGCGUGUGGGAAGAAGGCCUUCGGGUUGUAAAGCACUUUCAGCGGGGAGGCGUUACCCGCAGAAGAAGCACCGGCUAACUCCGUGCCAGCCGCCGCGGUAAUAC
rnacentral:rRNA from 1 species